rnacentral:tRNA from 1 species
GGAGAGGUGACGGAGCGGCCGAUCGUGCGGCAUUGGAAAUGCCGUGUACCAUAACCGGUACCGUGGGUUCGAAUCCCACCCUCUCCG